rnacentral:rRNA from 1 species
UACGUAGGGUGCAAGCGUUGUCCGGAAUUAUUGGGCGUAAAGAGCUCGUAGGCGGUCUGUCGCGUCGGCUGUGAAAACCCGGGGCUCAACCCCGGGCCUGCAGUCGAUACGGGCAGACUAGAGUGCGGUAGGGGAGACUGGAAUUCCUGGUGUAGCGGUGAAAUGCGCAGAUAUCAGGAGGAACACCGGUGGCGAAGGCGGGUCUCUGGGCCGUAGCUGACGCUGAUGAGCGAAAGCGUGGGGAGCGAACAGG